rnacentral:rRNA from 1 species
UGAAAAGAGAGUUAAACAGUAUGUGAAAUUGUUAAAAGGGAACCGUUUGGAGCCAGACUGGCUUGUCUGUAAUCAAUCUAGGCUUCGGCCUGGAUGCACUUGCAGGCUAUGCCUGCCAACGACAAUUUGACUUGAGGGAAAAAACUAAGGGAAAUGUGGCCCACUUGUGGGUGUUAUAGUCCCUUAGAAAAUACCUUGGGUUGGAUUGAGGAACGCAGCGAAUGCUUUUUGGCGAGUUUUCCAGGAAGGUUUUCUGAGGUACUACGGUAUCAAGGUUGAUCUUUUUGGUUAUACUUCUAUUCGCUUAGGUUGUUGGCUUAAUGACUCUAAAUGACCCGUCUUGAAACACGGCCCAAG